rnacentral:tRNA from 1 species
GGUUGUGGCUCAGUGGUAGAGCGCUUGCCUAGCUUGCAUAAGGCACUGGGUUCAAUUCUCAGCACCA